GAGUAAGAAGCGACAAUAUGACCAAGAAAUUGAGAAUCUAGAGAAGCAGCAGAAACAGACAAUUGAACGACUAGAACAAGAACACACAAACCGCCUGAGAGACGAAGCUAAGCGCAUCAAAGGAGAGCAGGAGAAGGAGCUGUCCAAGUUCCAGAAUAUGCUAAGAAACCGAAAGAAGGAGGUUAUAAAUGAAGUGGAGAAAGCACCCAAAGAGCUGAGAAAAGAGCUCAUGAAGCGCAGGAAAGAGGAGCUUGCACAGAGCCAGCAUGCUCAGGAACAAGAAUUUGUUCAGAAGCAACAGCAAGAGUUAGACGGCGCUCUGAAAAAGAUCAUCCAGCAGCAGAAGGCAGAGUUGGCCAAUAUUGAGAGAGAGUGCUUGAAUAACAAGCAGCAGCUCCUGAGAGCCCGAGAAGCUGCAAUUUGGGAGCUUGAAGAACGACAUUUACAAGAAAAGCACCAGCUGCUUAAACAGCAACUUAAAGAUCAGUAUUUCAUACAGAGACAUCAGCUGCUUAAACGCCACGAGAAGGAAACAGAACAAAUGCAGCGUUACAAUCAACGACUUAUUGAAGAAUUGAAGAACAGACAGACUCAGGAACGAGCUAGACUGCCCAAGAUUCAGAGAAGUGAAGCCAAGACACGAAUGGCCAUGUUUAAAAAAAGUUUGAGGAUUAACUCAACAGCUACACCAGACCAGGACCGUGAAAAAAUUAAACAGUUUGCUGCACAGGAAGAAAAGAGACAGAAAAAUGAGAGAAUGGCUCAGCAUCAAAAACACGAGAGUCAGAUGCGGGACCUUCAGUUGCAGUGUGAAGCCAACGUCCGAGAGCUGCACCAGCUGCAGAAUGAAAAAUGCCACCUGUUGGUUGAACAUGAGACUCAGAAACUGAAGGAGUUAGAUGAGGAGCACAGCCAAGAGCUCAAGGAGUGGAGAGAGAAGCUGAGGCCCAGGAAGAAGACACUGGAGGAAGAGUUUGCCAGGAAACUUCAGGAACAGGAAGUGUUCUUUAAAAUGACCGGGGAGUCCGAAUGCCUCAACCCCUCAGCGCAGAGCCGGAUCUCCAAAUUCUACCCUAUUCCCACCUUACAUUCCACUGGGUCAUAGCGGCAGCAGUGUCCUCAUCUGGAUUUGCCUUCUGAGUGCAUCGUUGUGUUCUCUCCCACGCGUGUGACUACAAAGACAAUCGCCUGCUUCAUCUUGGUUUUUAGAAUUUCUUUCUUGGAUUUUAUUGUUAAACAAAGAUGAAGAGCAAACGAACUAAGAUAGAUGCUAGGCCACGCUGCAGCGUAGAUCUGCAGGGAAUCCCUAAGGUGAUUCUGUGUAUCAACCUUAGAUACUGUAUUCUUUAACACUCUUAGUGAAAACUGCCAGAGACAUAAUGUUUAAAGUUAUUUGGAAAACAUAUCUGUUACAUCACUAAGUAUUAAAAAAUAUUGUUUUAUCUGAUUUCUCAAUGAUGCUAAAUUCUAUAGAUAGGAUUCUGCUGUAGAAUUGGAAUAAUUUUCUUUGGUAAACCAACUCUUAAUUUAAAAAAGCCAUGAGUUACAGAAAUACAUUAUUGAUCGAGUACAUAGAUAUAUUUUUAUCACUAAACAGAAUCAAAAUCUUUUAAAAGAGAAAAGUUAUUUCAGUAAUUUGUCACAAACAUUAGCCUGUGUGGGUAGGAGCUAAUUAUUAAGGUGCUAAUUUUAUUAAGAUAGUGCCUAAAACACUAAAUUUUAAACAUAUGUAAAUGGGGUUUUCCUUUUGGUCAACAGGAACAAAGUACCCUUCUCACUGAGCAUCACUUCUCAAUAGAAACUUACAUCCUAAAACAAAGGAAAGAUGGAAGGAUUGGCUUUAAAAUGUGAGUCGACUGAGCCUGCAUCUCAGCGAGUUCUGUCCGUCACUGGGAGCUCAGAUGGCAUUGUGCCACAGUCACAGCUGCAGUUCUGAGGCUGGUCUUAGGGGACAUGUUUGUCCACAAAGGACAUUCAUAUGCGUUCAUAUCAGGCAAACACACACCCAAAGUGACCCUGGGUCGUUCCCAGUGAGGUUAGUCAAGAGCAUUGUGGUUUUAGUUUGUCUCUGUUUAAAUUAACUGCUUUGAGUAGGAAAAGUCUGAAGUCUUUAUCAUGUGGUAGCUGGUCAUGUGACUGUUGAGGAAAUGCUCACGCUUAAUUCCUUUAGAAGUUCAGAGUCUCAGCCCCAUGUCAGGUCAACAGUGUUAUAAACAGCGCCUUUGUGAACGCUGCUCACUGCCUGCCAUUGGCAACCUGUUCUCUUCUAAGAGUGCUGGGUACCAAAUUGUUACCAGUGUUUAUAUUUCAAGGUCGGUGAAAAGUAGAAGUCUCAGUGUAAUGUGGGAACAGCAGUCCACGUAAGAAACUGUAGAUGUCUGUAGUACUUUCUUGCAGUUCAUUUGAAACUUUGGAUGCUGAGCUUUAUCUGGUUUAGAUGGUUAAAAAAUGCAUGUGUAAUUUUAAUUUUAUAAUUAUUUUGACAAGCAUAAUUUUUCUGGACAACCUUGUAGGUGGUAGCCUUAACUUUUAGCCAACUUUGUUUUUUUUUUAUAUAAAUAUAUAUAUACAUAUUAUAUAUAUAAUGUAUGGUUGUAAAUUCAUACACUUAUCACAUGAAUAUGUUACUAUAUACAGAACUCUUAAUGCUUUAUUUUCAGAUGCUGGGUUGAAACUGUUUGAAAGCCUUUAAAUAUAUAUCUUUAUAAAGUAAUAUUUAGGAUGAUGAUGGAAAUUGUUUAUAUUGUUAUGAUAAAAGAUGGUAUUAUGUUGCCCAGUGUGUUUAAUGAGUUAUUUGAGGAGGAGAGGGGAGGCAGGCUCUCAGACCACUUUCUCCUUUAAGUUUUACAGAUCAGCUCCCCAGUCAGUGGGUUUUCUUUCCGUUGCAUUCAGGUAAUCCAGACAUGAUUUGAUCUGAGCGUCUCCCCUUCCUGUUCUUGACAUUCAGAGUAUUGUAUCUGGGAGGGAGGGCAAAGGGUGUCUCCCUGAAGCCUGCCCUCUAGAGUCCCUGCUCCUGCUUGGAGUUUUCUUUCAAACAUGGCGGCUGCCUUCCUGUGUGUGCAGGGACUGUUAGUGGAGCACACUCAUCUCAGCACUUCAGGUUAUGUGUAGGACGUGUUUGUAACAGAACAUGCUGUUUCCAAGCAAACUUGCCUACUCCUUCUAAGGCCUUACCCCAAGUAGAUAAUGGUGAUUGUUCUCUCCUGCAUGAAGUACAAGUGGGGAGGGGCCGAGGGGCAGAGGCAUCCGUUCAUACGGUGAGUCUGUUCCUGUUUAGGUCGCUUGGUUGCUGUGGCAGAAUGUGCCAUGCAGAGCAUAAAGGGAAUUGUCAACAGUCACCUCCCCAGUCCCUGCAUGCUGUGGACACGCCUCACCCCUCCCCACCUCUGCAGGUCCAGCUCCUAGAGCUCGUACAGGGUUUCCUCCCUAACCCUGUCGAGGCUCAGGCCGUGGGCUGCUCCAUCAGCUGUUGUAUUAGGUGGAGUCGUAUCCAGCUCUUCCUUACCUUUUCUGCGUGUGAGGAGGAAGUUGGGAGUGUUUCUAGGUUGCUGACGAUACUGGAAGCUUCUCCCAUGUUAGGACACAGUGAGUGAGGACAGCAGGAGCAGAACCAGAGCUACCUCUAAGCAGUGUUUCCUCAAGCACGCGCUCUCAGGUCAGGAGACCCUCGCGGAGGCUCUCUGAUUUCUUGAGCAUCAGCAAGUCUCAGAAGUGAUUGUUUUUGUAUUCUUCCCGCUCCCUCACACCUUCAUACUUUCCCCAUCCUACACUGUGCUUAUUAAAUGACAAAGACUCUUCUAAGAAGCCAAAUUUGGCCAAAUUAAUAGCUAGAAACAUUGCAGAAUAGAACACCUAGAGCUGCUGUGGAAGAAGGGGCCUCAGCUCUCUGACCCUUCUGGUCCUCCCUGGAGACGGCCAUGCAGGAUGCGGGGUGCUGAUUUUUAAUGCUUCUCGUAAGACAGGCCACAGUCGAUGCCUCUGCUGUCCUGUUCUUUGGCUGACAUGGUUUUAAUAAUGCUUUAAAAUUUCUGCUACAAAGCUUGGAGUAAAGUGUUUUACCAGUUUCAAAUGUUGGCUGCAGCUUAAAAAAUGUGAUUCUUUGCAGUAUAAUAAGUUCACAAGCUAAGUUUUCAAAGAGAAUUUUGUUUCACAGUGUGCUUCUUGUCUAUUUGGGAUCAGAAACAUGCCUUUUCAAUCAUGGGAUUGUUAAACAAUAAAAUUAUUUCUUAAUCUAUUUUUGGGAAUCAUUUUUUUAAAUUA
rnacentral:lncRNA from 1 species